rnacentral:rRNA from 1 species
AGCAGUCGCCGCGGGAAUACGAAGGGGGCUAGCGUUGCUCGGAAUUACUGGGCGUAAAGGGCGCGUAGGCGGACAGUUUAGUCGGAGGUGAAAGCCCGGGGCUCAACCUCGGAAUUGCCUUCGAUACUGGCUGUCUUGAGUGUGAGAGAGGUGUGUGGAACUCCGAGUGUAGAGGUGAAAUUCGUAGAUAUUCGGAAGAACACCAGUGGCGAAGGCGACACACUGGCUCACUACUGACGCUGAGGCGCGAAAGCGUGGGGAGCAAACAGGAUUAGAUACCCCUGUAGUCCCUGUCUCUUAUAC